rnacentral:lncRNA from 1 species
AAACCCGAAUGUUGUUCAACCAAGCUUUCAGUAGAGGUCUGCAGAUUUCUCGUAUUCUUGGUGGACCAAAGAAGGAUCGUUCCUCCAGUAACAAAGAGUAGUUUUCAAUGCUACUACUCAUUGGACAGAAGAAUAGAUUCAUGUAAAUAUUAUGUAUCUUAGUUCAUGUACACAAUUUCAGGUAGCUUGUGUAUAUAAUAUAGUUUCUGCAAUUUGUCCAGAUGAUUUGUACAGGAUACAUAUUUUAGUUCAAAAGGAGAGGGUUUGGUAUGGAGUAAUUUAUUAAAAGCUUGUUAGUGGAAAUUUCCUUGUGUUUUCAAGUCCUUUUCACUUGGUGAGUAAGAUUAUAAUAUUCUUUUAAUUUAAUAUCAUACAAAAUUAUUUAUUAUUUGUUCCAUUACACUUUUUAACGUGCAUAUGGCACGGUUAAUUUUAGUUUAUGAAAAAAUAUGUUUACUAAAAUUGAGGAAAAUGACUUUUUAAAUGAAUAUCUAGUAAUAUCGGCUUUAACUCUAUUUUUAUCUUGUUUUUUGGAUCUGGUUGUUUGGUACGUAGGAUAAGAUGAAUAAUAUAAGAUUAAUUUUCAAUUAAGAUUUACUCUUAUUGAUAGAUGAUAUUACGAUUUAUUCAAGCAUAAAUCUAUAUCAUUUAUCAAAUAUAGUAAAAAUCUUAUGACAAACUUAAUACUAAAUUAUUAUAUCUUAUCCAAUUUAACUUGAACUUGUUGUAUCCCAUUUUUGGAUAUGAUAGAUUAUGAAUUUAGAAUCAUUUAGUUUACUCUUUACCAAAAAUAAAAAUGCAUGCCUUGUAUUUAUAAAGUCUUUAUUUUAAGGGCAAUUUUCACGUACAGCAAAUAAAAAAUUUAUAUUUGUAUGCUGUAGCAAAGUUUGCAUAAUUGCACUCCAUAGCAAACAUAAAACUGUAUAAUUCGCUAUACAUAUACAAUUGUAUAAUUCGCUAUCCUAUUUUACUGCGAUUGUAUAAUUCGCUGCCUAUUUCGCUGCAAUAUUUUUAUAAAAAUUGCUUUGCAUACAGUUGAAUCGAAUUAAAAUGUAUGUAUAUUGCAUAAUUAUAAGUGUAUAGCAAGAAGAUAUAUGUUUUUCUCUCGCUCUAUACAAAAACAGAAACACAAUAUAUACACUUCUGUUGUAUAAAGCUAGAAAAAAUUGUAUUUCACUGCAAUUGUAUAAUUCCCAAUUGUAUAAUUCGUUGGCC